rnacentral:rRNA from 1 species
UACGUAGGGUGCAAGCGUUAAUCGGAAUUACUGGGCGUAAAGCGUGCGCAGGCGGUUAUGUAAGACAGGUGUGAAAUCCCCGGGCUUAACCUGGGAACUGCAUUUGUGACUGCAUAGCUAGAGUACGGUAGAGGGGGAUGGAAUUCCGCGUGUAGCAGUGAAAUGCGUAGAUAUCGUAAGGAAGACCAGUGGCGAAGGCGGGUCUCUGGACAGUUCCUGACGGCUGAGGCACGAAGGCCAGGGGAGCAAACGGG